rnacentral:rRNA from 1 species
UACGAAGGGGGCUAGCGUUGCUCGGAAUCACUGGGCGUAAAGGGUGCGUAGGCGGGUCUUUAAGUCAGGGGUGAAAUCCUGGAGCUCAACUCCAGAACUGCCUUUGAUACUGAAGAUCUUGAGUUCGGGAGAGGUGAGUGGAACUGCGAGUGUAGAGGUGAAAUUCGUAGAUAUUCGCAAGAACACCAGUGGCGAAGGCGGCUCACUGGCCCGAUACUGACGCUGAGGCACGAAAGCGUGGGAGCAACAGGA